AGUGGGUCAGACAACUGCGUAGCAUCUGCUGAUGUUAUGAGGAAAGUCCGAGCUCCACAGGGCAGGAUAACGGCUAACAGCCGCCGAGGGCGACCUUAGGGAAAGUGCAACAGAAAUAAACCGCCUGUUUUUACAGGUAAGGAUGGAAAGGCGAGGUAAGAGCUCACCGGCGUACAGGAGACUGUGCGGCCAUGUAAACCCUAUCCGGAGCAACACCGAUAAAAAGCUAUACAUUUGCCCGAUGUGCUUUUGACAGGUGGCAUGAGCUUAUAAGCAAUUAUGAGCCUAGAUAGAUAGUUGUCCACGACAGAACUCGGCUUACGACUCGG
rnacentral:RNase_P_RNA from 1 species